rnacentral:rRNA from 1 species
UACGUAGGGUGCAAGCGUUGUCCGGAAUUAUUGGGCGUAAAGAGCUCGUAGGUGGCCUGUCGCGUCGGCUGUGAAAACUCGGGGCUCAACUCCGAGCUUGCAGUCGAUACGGGCAGGCUAGAGUUCGGCAGGGGAGACUGGAAUUCCUGGUGUAGCGGUGAAAUGCGUAGAUAUCAGGAGGAACACCGGUGGUGUAAACGGCUUUCUGGACCAUAACUGACGCUGAGGCACGAAAGCGUGGGUAGCGAACAGG